rnacentral:rRNA from 1 species
GGGCCCGCACAAGUGGUGGAGCAUGUGGUUUAAUUCGAUGCAACGCGAAGAACCUUACCAACCCUUGAAAUCUAGCGAAGUUCACAGAGAUGAGAAUGUGCCUUCGGGAACGCUAUGACAGGUGUUGCAUGGCUGUCGUCAGCUCGUGUCGUGAGAUGUAUGGUUAAGUCCAGUAACGAGCGCAACCCCUAUCCUUAUUUGCCAGCGCGUUAAGGCGGGAACUAUAGGGAGACUGCCGGGUGAAACCCGGAGGAAGGCGGGGACGAGGUCAAGUCAUCAUGGCCCUUAUGGGUUGGGCUACACACGUGCUACAAUGGGAAGUACAGAGGGACGCUAAAGCGCGAGCUGGAGCCAAACCCUUAAAACUUUUCUUAGUCCGGAUUGGAGUCUGCAACUCGACUCCAUGAAGUCGGAAUCACUAGUAAUCGC